ensembl:lncRNA
GAGAAAUGCAGCCACUGUAAAGCCUUUGCGGAUGGUUUUUACCAUCAGUAUAUGAAUUUCUUAAUCACAGGGGGUGACCUGUUUAAAAGUAUUUUGAAACUGUUUUUAUUGUGGACAUCUCGCUGACAUCCUUCUCGGUAAAUUGGCUGACCGGAUAUAGGAUGUUAACAAAGGAAGGAAUUUUAUUGUUCUUUUAUUAUUCUUAUCAUUAUGAAAUUUAGAAAUAACCAAGGGAUAUUGCUAAACAAAAACAAAGACACUGGGGCUGGCCCAUGGUGCAGCCGUUAUGUUGGCGCAUUCUGCUUCGGUGGCCCGGGGUUCGCCGGUUAGGAUCCUGGGUGCUGACAUGGCACCACUUAUCAAGCCAUGCUGUGGUAGGCGCCCCACGAGAGUCAGCGACUUGUACACACCUGAUGCGGCCCCCGUGGCCACCAGGGGGCGCGCAGACCCUGUGGUUUGGGCUCCAGGGAGCGCUGCGCGGUGGUAGCAGAGACCAGCACCUGAGGGUCUGAGAGGAGCCAGGAGGAGACAGAGGACGCGGGAGCUGUGGCCCCUCGCAGGCGCCCCGCGAAGGAGGAGAGUGAGGGGAGAGUGAGUGAGGACAGGCACAAAAGGAGCAGUAGAUCUUCCGGGGGCUCCUGGAGGGAUGGGCUCACGGGCUGGUAAAGCAGUGACAGUGACCCCAGAGGUGCAGCCCCGUGGCUCCCUGUCAGUUUAGAAAGGCUGUCAGGGGCCCCGGUCCCCUCCGGGGUGCGUUCCAGGGGUCCCACCUGCCCUCUAGCGUGUCCCCCACCAACUCCUGCUCCAACCUCUCCCUCCCUCCAGUUUCACGAGGGCGCCCUGGGGAGGGGGUGGGGCUCGCUGACAGGACCCCUUAGCCCGAGGGUCUUCCAGAGACCCUGGAGGGAGGGGCUUGUACAGUUGAGGGGCUCUAAACACCCCUAUUAUUACCCAGAGUCCAGGGAGAAAGUGAUAAACCCACGGGGACCCCCCAGUGCUCAGCCCCAACCCCACCCCCUCCCUGAGGAUUAAGAUGCAGGUUCCAGGCCCCAGCCUAACAGGCCUCGUAGAGACACUCACUGAUGCAUUCCCUGCCACGACCCUCACCUCCCCGUGGGGUCCCACAGUGACUGGGGCUCCCGCUUCCCCAAAGCUCCCACCAAGGACUGGUGUUCCCCCCGCUCUGGAGGACUAGCUCCCCUGCAGGGCCAGGCCACUCCUGGAACCUGCUGUGCGGACCCCCUGUGCAGACCCCAGGGCAGGAUGGACCAGAGCAGCAGCCCCAGGACAGGCCUUGCUAGUCAGCGCGGGGACGCGCUCCCAGCUCCCCGGACUCCGCAGCAAGGCUCUGGGAGAGUGGACUGGACUCACGUUGUUUUCUUUUUUCUGCUCUUUCCUUCCUCUUCCUGUGAGAAAGGGUCUAAAAUGGGUCAGCUGUAAUGUCAGCCAGUGGCGGUCAGAUGCUUCUGCAGCUACUCAGAGGACUGCCCUGGAGAAAGUGCCUCUGAGUAACCAGAUCUGUGUUCUGUGUCUCCUGUUCUGACUACCCAGCAAAUGAUGUGAAGGCGACGGCAGCCGUGGACGUUCUGCCAGAUGAAGGCUCCCUCCUCCCAUAUCUGCUCUGGCUCCCUAUUGCCUGCAGGAGCAUGUUCUUCCUGGGCAUCACCACGACCUGACAUGUAACCUCUGGGAUCCUCCUGACUGAGGCCGUGCACUGUCAUUCACAUACACUCAAUGUCUCCUGCCUUCCAGCCGCUGCUCCUGUCUUCUCCCCACAAUUCCACCCACUCAGAGCCUCUCUCACAGUCCAAGGAGAGCAGUGCACUCCUCCUUCCAUCUUCAGCAGCCCAGACUUGGUCUCCAGUUAGGGGACUGUUUUCAAGGAAGCUGCAAACAACCCAGGACUGGUCUUUGCAGGUGUUCUACUGAUUUUCUUGAACUGUCUUAAAAGUGGAAGCAAAGUCCUGGGAAGGGGAGCAGAGAUGAGGGGGCUUCUAGAUGAAGCCCCGCCAAGAGGUUAUCGGUGGACUGGCUCUCUCCCAGCUCUCUACCCCAUCCUGUGGGGACAGUUAACACAAGAAAGAGUUUUCUUAAUGUCCCAGCAACGUGGCCCAGCUGUGGCUGCUUUGUGUAUCCCUUGUCCUGGGAGCUUCUCUGUGGCUUCUCCACGCAGCACGAGUCAAGCCCAGGGCAGGGGCCCAGCAUGGAGUGUGUUGCAUGAGCCCACUGCUGUCAGGGAGCUGGGGAGCUGGUGAAACGCAGCAGGACUCAGAGCUGUGUCCCCGGGAGGCCACCAUGUGAGUGAGCCCCCUACCCAGCCGUCCUGCCCACCAUGGGCUCUUUGGAGCUGGGCACUGGUAGGAAGGAUGUGCGGAAUCCUGUCUGCAGCCGGCACGGAGGGGUGACUCGGGGCUUCAAGAAUUCAAACUGAUGACAGAGGAGAAUGACGGAUACACACGACAUCCUUAUGCUGAGUAAGAGUACACACUGUGUGGUUUAAUGUGAAGUUCUAGAACAGGCAAAAUGUAUCCAUGAGGCAGAAAAAUCAGAACAGUGGUUGUCCUUCCUGAUUCGAUGUGGGGACUGACUGGGAAGGGUCGAGAGGGGGCUUUGUGGACAUAAGGCUGAUGGUCUACAACUCGAAGGGGCUUGGGUUCCACAGGUACACGCACUUGUGAAAACAUCACUUAAGAGAUGUGCAUUUGAUAGGAUACAAUUUUUAGGAAAAAUAAACUGUAAUAAUAUUGAACUCUAGCACUACACACUCUGAAUUAUUCAGGGCACAUGUUACUGAUGUCUGUAACAGUCCUUGAAAUGGAUUAAAAUUAAGACGGGUUGAUGGGAGGAGUAUGAACACAUGGACAGAUACACAUAAAGCAAGUACAUUCAAAUGUUAAUGGUAGAAUCAACACUGUGGGAAUAUGGGGUUAAAUAAAAAAUUAUUUCAUAUUUCCCUUGUGUUUUAAAAUUUUCAUAAUUAAAUGUUGGGAGAAAAACUGCACGAGCCCCUUCCACUUUUGCCGUUUUUGGAAGACGCCAAGCAAAGGGACAUGAAUGUUCAGGGUAACUGGAUCUGCUCGGAGGAGAAGCCUGUGAGGAGCAGGAGCCACACAGUGAGGAACGGUUGCUCAGCAUCUGUGGUUCCUCUAGGAAUGCCAGAAACCUCUUGCCUUCAGAGUUCCCUGCCCCCAACUCCCUGGAUGGGGGAGGCCUUCCUCAGUCAGAGGCCAGCCAGGGGGCCCAGGAUUGCGGACACGACCCUACGAAGGACACACUGCUGUCUGGAUGUGCCUGGUCAGGGAGAUUAUUCCACCACAGGGGGAGACAGCCUUUGCACUGGUGACACCUCGUGAAUAAUCCCUUAAUGUGGACUCACAUGCUUAUUCUUCUGCUGUAGUGGAGAAGAAAAUGCACCAAAUACAGCUGUCAGUGGUGAGCACACCUUUCUCUCAGCCUCUUGCAGAUCCAGAACUUCUGAUGACGAGGCGCCCUAGGGCGCUGAGCUUUGCUCCAAAGAUUGAUCUACAUUUUCCUCUCUGACUUGUGCUGCGUGCAGUGCGCCCUUGCUCUGAUGCAGCUCUCUCAGUUGUCCAUCCAGCCUCUGCCCAUGUGAGCGCUGUUCCAUCUGGGAAGGGAAAGCUCUGCUCUUUCUCAACACUGUAAAAGAUCCUAGAAAGAUGUGGUAACUACCCAUUCCGGGGUUUCCUCUUCCUGCUCUGCUGUUCUGCCCAGGAUUCUCUGCACAGUGCUCUCCUUCGCACCUACGCUUCCAUUCCCCUUGUCAGCCCGAGUUCCCAAGGCUUUCUGGGAUUUCCAUAACAGUUUUCAGGGUCCCUGAGCUCACAGUAUUGCUCGUCCUUGUGAAGUGCUUCCAGUUUUCUCUUCCCCCAGACCACGUGGAUUUUGGCAUUUCCUUCCCAAACCCCAAGGGCUCAUCUUGUUGAUCUCUCCUUCUUGACCUGCCCCCAGGGGAGGAAGGAGGAUGCUGGCGGGAAGGUGAGGACUUGAGUCUGUGCUGAGACCCAGAGGAGGGGCGGGGCGGGCGGCCUCUUCAGCAGGUGGACUCUGAGGGGGUCGGGAAAGAAGAGGUAGCAGAAGAGCGAGAGCGGAGAGCUUCCCUCCCCACAGACUCCAUGCAGCUUCGGGUCCUGACGACCUGGCGUCUAUCCUGCCCGUGCUGCCGCCCGCCAAUCCAGGCUGAUGCUCAGGGUGCGUCUCAACGAGGCAUCUGUGACGUCAUGCGGCUCCCCACCGUCUUGACAUCCUUGGGAAUUCCUCCUCAGCCCCCGCCUGCCUCCCUCCUCCAUCCCACUACCUGCCCUGUGCAGUCAGGAGGUGUCCCCAGUUCACUGGUGAAUUCAUUGGAUCUGUCACGUCGCCAGCUGGAAUGGGACAGGCCCUGAACCCAGGGAUCCCAGGCAAGGGCGCUGAGACAGCAGGGUCGCAAUCCCAGCAGGGACUGCUUGACUCUGGGCUGGUCGUGCCCUCCCCUCUCCCGUGGAGCCUCACCCCGCCCCUCCGAAGACCCGCCCCCUGCACGCGGACUGGGUGUCCAUGGCGACGGGAAGGAAGCCGGGGUGAAGAGGCAAAUGAAAUAAUUCAACCAGGCUACCACUGCAGGUGUGUGAUAUUAGACGGAGCGUGUCCAAUGGGGAGCAGCACAGAGAGUGUGAACAAAUCUUCACUGAGAGCAGAACGGUGCAGCGGAAGCGAGCUGGGCUCCCAACUCAGAAGAAGAAGACUCUUUCUGCGUGUUUACAAGUGCUCAAUUCUCUACAUAAAAUCUAGCUGUUUCCACUUUUUGCCUACUACGAAAAAUGCUACUUUGAUGAG